rnacentral:lncRNA from 10 species
UCUAAAAAAUCUUCCAUUAAAGUGUUGUAUUUUUUUCUUUUGAUUCCUUCAUUACAUCAGGCUCUGUCCUUGAAUUCCUUUCCCAUCUUCUGCUUCCAUACCUUUAAGCCAUGGGGUAUCCAACUUUUUUUCAGGCUCCAUCACAAGAGGGAGCCCCAUUGCUAGUCCCCAUCCUCAAAGCCUCUGCGUGAUGUUGUCUACUGUUACUCUUCACUACCCUGUGGGAGCCAAAGCCCUGGACAUAAGAACAGAAGGCAAGGGUGGCUGAGAGGAAGAACUGACACCUUUGUGCUAUCAGAGCACUUUGCAGAGGAGCUGUUAGUGGCCCUGUAGGAGUCUGCUGGCCAUACAUCUGGGUGUCAAAUCAAGAGAGCAUGAGAAGUUGGACAGGAAAGGUCCAAGGCAAAAUGGUUACUAAAGGCCAUCCCUGAUCCUGACCCUAAAAGAAGAAAAGGCCCUUUGCUCUUGGCAUGCUUUUGCAGGAGUGUCUCAGUCUGUUUGGGCUGCUAUAACAUUGACUGGGUGAUCUGCCUGCCUGGCCUCCCAAAGUGCUGGGGUUACAGGUGUGAGCCGCUGCACCAGGCCUUGAG